rnacentral:rRNA from 1 species
GGUAUUGCCUUAGUAACGGCGAGUGAAGCGGCAACAGCUCAAAUUUGAAAUCUGGCCCUCGGGUCCGAAUUGUAAUUUGUAGAGGAUGCUUUUGGUGCGGUGCCUUCCGAGUUCCCUGGAACGGGACGCCAGAGAGGGUGAGAGCCCCGUACGGUUGGACACCUACCCUAUAUAUAGCUCCUUCGACGAGUCGAGUAGUUUGGGAAUGCUGCUCUAAAUGGGAGGUAAAUUUCUUCUAAAGCUAAAUACCGGCCAGAGACCGAUAGCGCACAAGUAGAGUGAUCGAAAGAUGAAAAGCACUUUGAAAAGAGGGUUAAAUAGCACGUGAAAUUGUUGAAAGGGAAGCGUUUGUGACCAGACUUUUUCUUAGUGGAUCAUCCGGUGUUCUCACCGGUGCACUUCACUGGGUUUAGGCCAGCAUCGGUUUCCGGAGGGGGACAAAAGCAUGGGGAAUGUGGCUCUUUCGGGAGUGUUAUAGCCCCUAGCAUAAUACCUCUCCUGGGGACCGAGGACCGCGCUUCGGCAAGGAUGCUGGCGUAAUGGUUAUCAACGACCCGUCUUGAAACACGGACCAAGGAGUCGAACAUUUGUGCGAGUGUUUGGGUAUCAAACCCUCACGCGUAAUGAAAGUGAACGGAGGUGAGAGCCCCUCGGGGUGCAUCAUCGACCGAUCCUGAUGUCUUCGGAUGGAUUUGAGUAAGAGCAUAACUGUUCGGACCCGAAAGAUGGUGAACUAUGCGUGGAUAGGGUGAAGCCAGAGGAAACUCUGGUGGAGGCUCGCAGCGGUUCUGACGUGCAAAUCGAUCGUCAAAUCUGCGCAUGGGGGCGAAAGACUAUCGAGCAUCUAGCUUCG